GAAAGAUUCAUUUUUCAUUCACUCUGUGACCCUCUGGCGAUUAAUCUUGCUCAUUGAAAAUCUCACCUCUCAUCUUCUACAUGUGUAAUUCUUUUCCAUUUGGCCGUAAAUUAGAUCUUGGCCUUGAUUUGUGGCUUAUGUUCUGCUGUGAAAUCAGGCUGUAGGGUGGCUUGUGAAUGGUGUUCGUGUACAUGAAGGUUUUUGGCCUUUUUUGGGUCAGUGUAAACUGUACAAGAACUUUGCUACAAUUUUUGUUACAGUCUUGGAUCGAUCAGGUGUUAUUAUUGUGAGAUCUUUUAUAGAUCAAUGAUCUAUUGAUUGAGUCGGUGAUCGGAUUGUUGUACUCAAAACUUAAACUCUCUCUUGCGAGGUUUUUGCACAUAGUGACAGACUCUUACUUCUUAGCCCCCAGAUUACGCCGGUUUUAGCUGAACCGGGUGACCAAUUUUCGUGUUCUUGGAGUUCUUUAAUUUCCAAUUUUAUUUACUGUUGUGGUGCUGUAAUUUUCGUCAUUUGAUAGAUGAUUUUCGAUUGAUUGAAUUGUUGGAAAUAUAGGAUUAUUUGGGUGGAAAUAUGAUCUAGGACCAAUAAUCCCAACAAAACUGGUAACAGAGCCUGUAAUGGGGUUCUUGAGUAUUAUUCUUUUUUAGAAAUUUUUUUUAAAUAAAACAUCUCUGGUAAAAUUUGAUUUUUUGGAAAUCUGAAAUCUAUAGCUGGAAAAUUAGGGGAUUUUACAUACCUCUAAAGUAUAUGCAGUGUUAUCGAAUUGGUCAAAAGCCUACUGAUAUUGAUCAGUGUUUCAGGUUGUAUUACUGUAUUGGUUCCACUAAAUUGGAGGUAGACUUGCUGAACUCUUAGCUUCUUGAUAAGGAAUUGGAUUUAGAAGUAUUAAACUAUUAUUCAACAGUUUUGGUGAGAUCGUUUAAAUUUUUUGAAUUCAAUUUAAAGUUUCAUGCUAAUUUCUUAUUUUUUAAAGCAAAUUGGUAUCGGUUGCUGCAUGUUAUAUUGAUAUAUGUUGUAAUCUGGACUGCAUAACUGCUACAUGAUGAAUUACACGUUAUUGCUAAGUGUUGCACAUGC
rnacentral:lncRNA from 1 species